GCGGGUAUAGCUCAAUGGUAGAGUGAAUGCUUAGCAUGCAGGAGGUUUUGGGUUCAAUCCCUGGUACCUCCA
rnacentral:tRNA from 1 species